rnacentral:rRNA from 1 species
GACGAACGCUGGCGGCGUGCUUAACACAUGCAAGUCGAACGGAAAGGCCCUGCUUUUGUGGGGUGCUCGAGUGGCGAACGGGUGUGUAACACGUGAGUAACCUGCCCUUGAAUUUGGGAUAACUUCAGGAAACUGGGGCUCAUACCGGAUAGGAGCUCCUGCUGCAUGGUGGGGGUUGGAAAGUUUCGGCGGUUGGGGAUGGUCUCGCGGCUUAUCAGCUUGUUGGUGGGGUUGUGGCUUACCAAGGCUUUGAGGGGUAGCCGGCCUGAGAGGGUGACCGGCCACAUUGGGACUGAGAUAGGGCCCAGACUCCUACGGGAGGCAGCAGUGGGGAAGAUUGCACAAUGGGCGGAAGCCUGAUGCAGCAACGCCGCGUGCGGGAUGACGGCCUUCGGGUUGUAAACCGCUUUCGCCUGUGACGAAGCGUGAGUGACGGUAAUUGGUAAAGAAGCACCGGCUAACUACGUG